rnacentral:rRNA from 1 species
AUACGAAGGGGGCUAGCGUUGCUCGGAAUGACUGGGCGUAAAGGGCGUGUAGGCGGUUGAUACAGUCAGAUGUGAAAUCCCCGGGCUUAACCUAAGGGAGCUGCAUUUGAUACGUGUAGACUAGAGUGUGAGAGAGGGUUGUGGAAUUCCCAGUGUAGAGGUGAAAUUCGUAGAUAUUGGGAAGAACACCGGUGGCGAAGGCGGCAACCUGGCUCAUGACUGACGCUGAGGCGCGAAAGCGUGGGGAGC